rnacentral:rRNA from 1 species
GAGUUUGAUCGUGGCUCAGAACGAACGCUGGCGGCGUGGAUAAGACAUGCAAGUCGAACGGGAGAAUUGCUAGCUUGCUAAUAAUUCUCUAGUGGCGCACGGGUGAGUAACACGUGAGUAACCUGCCCCGAGAGCGGGAUAGCCCUGGGAAACUGGGAUUAAUACCGCAUAGUAUCGAAAGAUUAAAGCAGCAAUGCGCUUGGGGAUGGGCUCGCGGCCUAUUAGUUAGUUGGUGAGGUAACGGCUCACCAAGGCGAUGACGGGUAGCCGGUCUGAGAGGAUGUCCGGCCACACUGGAACUGAGACACGGUCCAGACACCUACGGGUGGCAGCAGUCGAGAAUCAUUCACAAUGGGGGAAACCCUGAUGGUGCGACGCCGCGUGGGGGAAUGAAGGUCUUCGGAUUGUAAACCCCUGUCAUGUGGGAGCAAAUUAAAAAGAUAGUACCACAAGAGGAAGAGACGGCUAAACUCUGUGCCAGCCGCCGCCGCGGUAAC